UGGGGAAUAUUGGGCAAUGGGCGAAAGCCUGACCCAGCGACGCCGCGUGAGGGAAGAAGGUCUUCGGAUUGUAAACCUUAGUUAGCAGGGAAGAAGAAAGUGACGGUACCUGCAGAGAAAGCCACGGCUAACUACGUGCCAGCAGCCGCGGUAAUACGUAGGUGGCGAGCGUUAUCCGGAAUUACUGGGCGUAAAGGGUGAGUAGGCGGUUUUUUAAGUUGGAUGUGAAAUACCCGGGCUUAACUUGGGGGGUGCAUUCAAAACUGGAGAACUAGAGUACAGGAGAGGAAAGCGGAAUUCCUAGUGUAGCGGUGAAAUGCGUAGAUAUUAGGAGGAACACCGGUGGCGAAGGCGGCUUUCUGGACUGAAACUGACGCUGAGGCACGAAAGCGUGGGGAGGGCAAACAGGAUUAGAUACCCUGGUAGU
rnacentral:rRNA from 1 species